UUAUAUGACAUACUUUAUUUCCAAUCUACAACCAUUAAAAACACUUUGUAAGUUUACACUGUACAGUUCUCAUAUCUGAAAUAAGACACAGGGCAAAGACAGCUGGUGGACUAGAUGCCGUCCUACCACCCAAUAUGUCCUGGGAAGGAGCCUUUAAAGAUAGAAAGGCGGAGGGGGGCAGUGGAAGGGAGAGGAGGAGGACAGAACAGAGGAAGGGAGAGGUGGAUAGUUGGCCCAAGGAUGCCCUUGGUCCCUUCCCUCCUGAGGGGUCCGGCAGGGCCCACGACUGCAGGACCCUCACCAGGAAACCAGGCUGAGCAGGAAGGGGCUUCACAGUAUUGGCCAGGUUGAGGAGGGGAGCAAGAUGGAGAGGAAAGGCUCUAGCUCUUCCCUAGGCACUGGGGGUUGGGACUGAUUUUUGGCACUGUCUACAUGGAGUCCCUGGAAUCAGGAGGAUGAGGAGGUGCAGCAUGGGAGUGUACACAGGAUUUUCUUCUUGCAGCCUUGGGUUUCUUUCUUUCCCUUUGGAUAGAGGCCCUCUGGCAAUGGUGAGGAUUCAAAUGGAUAAAUGAAAAGGGUCCUUCUUGCCUCCUGCUUCCAGGGACUCUCCCUCCCCCUUGCCUGCUGUGAUCAGCUAUGCAGCUUUCCUGAAAAUCCUGAAAGUGGGGAUGGUGAGCUGGGCUGAAAUGGAGCCAAAGAGAUAAUAGGAAAACUUCAAGACUGCUGCCCUCACUCCAGCUUCCAGAAAGAGGAAAGUGUUGUUUUGUUUGGGGCCAGAGGCCCUGAAUCUAGGACUCCCAUUGACUGGUUGUUUCCCCUUGUCCUUGGCUCAGGCCAGCCCCAGUUCCUGCCCAAGCUGCACUGAAAGCUCACCUGGGGCCACAACCUUGCUGUUGGCAAACUUGUCCACAUCAGAACGACUGGAGGCUCUUUCGUACCCCAGCCUGCUGGGUCUGCUUCAGUGGGGCCAACAAUCUUCACUUCUGUCAAUGUUCCUGGUGAUGUUUCCACUGUGGGAAUGGAGUUGUCAGUGGUGCCCCAGCCGCCUUGGCAACCUGGUACCUCCCAAGGAAGCCACGUUGGCAAUGUCCAGUUGCAGAGGCACCAAGAGAUCUGGAUAGAUGCCCCCUGGGUGGAGAAGUAAACUAAGGCACAGAGAUCAGUGGUUGAGCCAAGAGAAGAACAAGGGUUGUCCGGGCCCAGUGGAUCCAGGGGAGGCUCCAGAGCCCCAAAACCCAAAGGAUAUUUGGGGUCCAUAGGGUCAUCCUAGUGCUCCUAUGAGGACCAUAAAAGGGGAGGCUCAAACUUGGGAUAGGUUUCCAGAUUGCCAGCUGAGGUCUCUCUUCAUAGAAGUGGCACCGGUGGCUUUUCAUGUGGUGUGACAAGGAAGCCGGACUCAACUGCCUCAGUUCUUCCAGGAUAUUCAGAGAAAACCGGGAAGCUAGUGAAGGGCAGGAAGGGGAGGCCAGGUCAAUGGGGUAGGCAGAGAGAAGAGGAUGGUCCCAGGGGCAUGAGGAAGGAAAGUGGUCAGGUGGAAAGCCUGGAGCAGGGACUGUGGCCCAGGACCAUGUCCUCGGUCCCCUCUCAUGGAUCUAUGGAUUCUGCAAACUGCAGAUGCUGUUGGUUCAGGGGAUUUGGUUCUGCCGAGAUGAGCUGAUUUGCAGGGGAGAGCUGAUGGGAUGGACAGAGAGGCACAAAACAAAAGAAAGAGAGGUCAAGCUUGCCCCACUUUAUACCAAAGCCACAAAAAGUGGAAAGAGAAGACUCAAGGAUGAACAAAUAGCAAGUCUGUCCGUGUCUACUAUGCAUCCUCCCAGUGGAAGGUGAUGUUAUUGGGAGACUGAGGACAGGGAAGACAGGAGGCAGAGAGUGAUGAGUCUGAGGAGGAGGACUGGAAGAGAUGGAGAAGUAUGAUCCAUGGAAGAAGCAGUUAGCUUUAGUGAGAGAAAACACAAAAUUAACACAAGACGGGAUAAUUCCAGAUCUGAGAGCAAACCUUGGAAUCGGAAGACAGACAUGCCACUUCCCCGAUGAGGUGAGCAUGUGAGUUUGUUGGCACAGGGAGGAGACAGCCGAGGUCACACACAAAUCCACAGGAGGGAACAGUACUUAAGAGGACACAGGAGGCUGAGGGCUAGUGCUAUAGAGAGCCUAGGGCUCCAAAGAAAACCUGGCCCUAGGCUAGGACCACUUCAUCUGGUGGCAGGAACCAGCUAAGAAGUAGUGACAGGAGGGAGACUAUGGAUAAUGAUGAAGGAGGAGGGGAGGUGUGUGAGGAGGAAAGUGAACCCCAACAAAGAUGGGGGUUCAGCUACACCCCCGGAGCAUCCCUCAAUCACUAUGUAUAGAAUCUUCGGUGAGUCAGGAGCUCUGGGAUGUGCUGGCCCCUUGCUCAGAGGCCUUGGGCAAUCCACGGGCCCUUGUCCACAUGUAAAACACAAAGUGGUGAGACACAGAUGAUAAAUACUGGGGUCUAUCUACUUGAGUACCUAAAACAGGCCAGUGAAGAAGGGAGAAAGCAGACCAGAGGUCACCCGGCCUGGGGCAGAAGUGGGAGUCACUGUGUAGGUUAGUUAGGAAUUAUUAUGGGGGUGUGGUAUUUCAGUUUGGGGCCAAGAAGAAGUUCUGGAGACAGCAGUGGCUAACACAGCAUUGAGAAUGUAAAGGACACUUAGGGCCGGGGUGAUAGCAAAUGCCAACGGUGACAGAGGCAGAAAGAGUUCAAGCUCAUCCUUGGAUAGUGAGUUGGAGGCCAACUAAUGAUACAAGAGCCUCUGUCGCAAAGUAAAUACUUGUUAAAAAGCCUCUUAGGUGCUUGAGACGUAACUCUGUGGUAAGAUGCUUGCCUCGCCUGCACUAGGCUCUGAGUCUCAUUCCCAGCUUGUGCAAACUCCUGCACAUACGCACACAAAAGGACAACAGUAGCGUUUUAAAUUGUGAGCAGGUUGGCGAGCUUCUCCUCCGGUCCCUGUCCAUUUAAGGCCAAUGAGGGAAGGAGGUACAGGCUACUGAGGGGCUCAAUGGCUAUAGUAUGGUCAGAUUCACUCAGAUUUAUACAGAUUUGCAUCAGCUUUUCUUAUAUUUUUGGUUGUGAGCCUAGCCUUUAACGGCUGAGCCAUCUCUCCAGCCCAUUUUUUUUUUUUUUCAUCAGCUUUUCUUAAAGGAACAGGCAUCAUGUAUUUGGUCUUCUCCACAGCCACCACUUUAUAGCUGGGGAAACAGGCAUAGACUAGCCAUGUGAUUUGGCCAAAGUCAUUCAAACUGGUGGCAGUUUAUUAUUUUGUAAAUCGUCUUCUGGAAAACUCGUCUCAUCUUGGGCUAACCUGGUAUUACACCAAUCAGCUCCAGGGUCUUUAAAGAGACCUCAGGUUCUACAUUGGUUUGUCUCUGGGAGCGAUCCUGAUUGGCUGAUGAAAGAGAUAAAGGCCCGACUUACUUCUCUUCUUACCAUGGCCUCUAGGAAACUCGAGAAUGAAAUUGAAGGCUGGGUAUGGUGGCGCAUGCCUGUAAUUCCAGAAUGUGGGAGGCAGAGGCAGGAAAAAUCACCACAAAUUUAAGGUCUACACAGCAAUUUCCAGAUCCGAUAGGGAUACCCAGCAAGAUCGUGUCUAAAAACAAAAACAGACGAACAAAAAACAGGGGGAGGAAGGGAGAAUAAUUUAAAUUUGGUAAUUAUGGGGAUUAUAGCAGGUAGACUGGGGGAAUAAUUGUUUUUCUUUUUCUUUUUCCUUGGCAGUGCUCUACUCCUGUGACACACGUCCUUAGUUCUCAUCCUCUGAUUUUCCCAGUUUUGUUUGUUUUCCAAGAGUAGGGAGAGAACCCAGGGCUCACACAUGUGAAGCAAGCAUCAACCACUGAGCUACCACCACUUUCAAAAAUCCUUGAGAUAAGACCUCAGAAAACUGCCAGAGCUGACCUUGAACUCACUCCAUUUCCCAAACAGGCUUUGAACGUGAUCCUCCUGUCUCUGCCUCCCAAGUAGCCAGGAUUAAAGGCCAGGAUUAACCAGCCUUUCUAGCUUUGCUUAAUGAAACAUGACUAAAAUGGAAGACUGUUUUUGAUGCCCUUUGAAAACCCUUGGAAUAAUUUACCCAAAGCAGAGUUCGUCUACGACACCCUCACCCCCCCCAAAUCACAGCUCAGUGCUCAGGGCUCUCGUUCAGGACCUACACUAUGAGCACUAACUCAAAAUGCAAGAGUUAUGAAUGGCUGGAAUUUUGAAUGUUAACACUGGUCACUGGUGCUUAAGGAUCUCCAGGGGGCUAAACCCACAGGACCUCUGUCCAGAGGCUGGGGUCAGGUCUGGAAAUCUGUACCAAGAACUUGCUCUCAGAGGUUUGGGUGCAGUGGUCCCUGGGCUACCCUCCGGAACAAAGGUCCAGAAUUGAAAGCCUGCCUCUGGGUUUGGCAGUGGCGAGUUUGGGAUGCUUUGAAUCUAGCCAGCGUCCCAGUGAGUUUGUACAGAAAGCAGGGAAGAACCCAGCUAUUAAAGUUGAUGACUUCCUGGUUCAGGGCUCCAGGGCAAAAAAACGGUUUUCCCCUUUGUAGAAUGAGAACACUAAGCCCUGUCCUGUCAAAACUGCCCCUCAAGAGUUGCCCUUGAGAGACUAAGGAGGGAUGAGGAGAUGGUGCUGUGACCUCUAAACAAUACAGUGCUCCAGGGAGGACGGUUGGAGGGAUGUUUGCUAUUGCAGUGAGGAGGGAGAGGGAGGCAGUGAGCAACUGAGGCUGGAACUCUGGGUGAGUGGUAAGAAGCCUGGGGAA
ensembl:lncRNA